GCCUUCGUGGUGUAGUGGUCAGCACGCUCGACGCGUAACCGAGAGGUCCGUGGUUCGAGUCCCGUCGAAGGCG
rnacentral:tRNA from 1 species